rnacentral:rRNA from 1 species
GCUCCCUGAUGUUAGCGGCGGACGGGUGAGUAACACGUGGGUAACCUGCCUGUAAGACUGGGAUAACUCCGGGAAACCGGGGCUAAUACCGGAUGGUUGUUUGAACCGCAUGGUUCAAACAUAAAAGGUGGCUUCGGCUACCACUUACAGAUGGACCCGCGGCGCAUUAGCUAGUUGGUGAGGUAACGGCUCACCAAGGCAACGAUGCGUAGCCGACCUGAGAGGGUGAUCGGCCACACUGGGACUGAGACACGGCCCAGACUCCUACGGGAGGCAGCAGUAGGGAAUCUUCCGCAAUGGACGAAAGUCUGACGGAGCAACGCCGCGUGAGUGAUGAAGGUUUUCGGAUCGUAAAGCUCUGUUGUUAGGGAAGAACAAGUACCGUUCGAAUAGGGCGGUACCUUGACGGUACCUAACCAGAAAGCCACGGCUAACUACGUGCCAGCAGCCGCGGUAAUACGUAGGUGGCAAGCGUUGUCCGGAAUUAUUGGGCGUAAAGGGCUCGCAGGCGGUUUCUUAAGUCUGAUGUGAAAGCCCCCGGCUCAACCGGGGAGGGUCAUUGGAAACUGGGGAACUUGAGUGCAGAAGAGGAGAGUGGAAUUCCACGUGUAGCGGUGAAAUGCGUAGAGAUGUGGAGGAACACCAGUGGCGAAGGCGACUCUCUGGUCUGUAACUGACGCUGAGGAGCGAAAGCGUGGGGAGCGAACAGGAUUAGAUACCCUGGUAGUCCACGCCGUAAACGAUGAGUGCUAAGUGUUAGGGGGUUUCCGCCCCUUAGUGCUGCAGCUAACGCAUUAAGCACUCCGCCUGGGGAGUACGGUCGCAAGACUGAAACUCAAAGGAAUUUGACGGGGGCCCG